rnacentral:rRNA from 1 species
GACGAACGCUGGCGGCGUGCCUAAUACAUGCAAGUAGAACGCUGAAGGAGGAGCUUGCUUCUCCGGAUGAGUUGCGAACGGGUGAGUAACGCGUAGGUAACCUGCCUGGUAGCGGGGGAUAACUCUUGGAAACGAUAGCUAAUACCGCAUAAGAGUAGAUGUCGCAUGACAUUUGCUUAAAAGGUGCAACUGCACCACUACCAGUUGGACCUGCGUUGUAUUAGGUAGUUGGUGAGGUAACGGCUCACCAAGGCAACGAUACAUAGCCGGACUGAGAGGGGGAUCGGCCAAACUGGGACUGAGACAAGGCCCAGAAUCCUAAGGGAGGCAGCAGUAGGGAAUCUUCGGCAAUGGACGGAAGGCUGACCGAGCAACGCCGCGUGAGUGAAGAAGGUUUUCGGAUCGUAAAGCUCUGUUGUAAGAGAAGAACGAGUGUGAGAGUGGAAAGUGCACACUGUGACGGUAUCUUACCAGAAAGGGACGGCUAACUACGUG